GGAAGAAGAGAGAGGAGAGGAGAGGAGAGGAGAGGAGAGGAGAGGAGAGGAGAGGAGAGGAGAGAGGAGACGAGUGGAACACGCAGAGGGAGGGAGACCAAACCCCCUCUUUGCUGCGUUGAAAGCUUCUGAAUUUCAAGCAGAAAGUAGAAGGAGCCCCACACAGCAAUAUUCGUCUUUUCUUGGGCUGCGUGUGCAGAGCGUAGACAAUGAAAAUCUCCAUCCCCUCCCCCAUGCUCUAGCCUACAAGAUUUUUGUUUCUUUCCUUCUCAACGAUGGAAGCCAUGUAAAAUCAAAUAUACAGAGAUGUGCAUUCAUUUUUUAAAGCACAGACUAGCAAACCAAACGAGCUGACCGCGGAUUACCCAAAUGCGCACCUGCUGGGAGCGUUCUGGGGUCUCCGCACAAAACCUGAUUUUGAGCUCUUCGGCUUCCUCCGAGAGAGCUGGAGCCCGUCCUUCCCCGUGGCCCACCCAGCCGCAAGAGAUGCUGUGAAAAGAGCCGCUGCCCACCGCCUCGGGCCCUGCUGUCCAGAGGGCUCCGCCCAUAGAGGUCAACUCCCCUCACUCUUCCUCUUUCCAGUUCGCCCUCCCUCCGCCGAGCCCCUGACUCGGGUCUCCUCCCGACUUUUGCCGCAGAGAGUGCAUAUCUGCUGCGCUGCCCUUAACCUGCGCCGGGAGCAGACUCAGACCAGAUCUCUGUUCUCCAGAGCCGGAGGAAGCCCGAGCAAGCAGCCUUUUCUCCCUGCAGUAAAACCAUAGCCAGACCAGAUGCGCCCCAGCUCUCCCGGGACUCGGCAGGUGCUGUUGAGUUAAUUUUUCCGCCAUACAAAGAAGGAUGACCCAGCCCGCCCUGGGAUUCUGAUCUUUUCCCCAAAUUUCCCAACCCAAAUUGGGGUAUCAGAGGCAUAUCCGUGUGUUUGUCGGACAUACAAACAUGCAUGUUUAUGUUCGCUUUUAUCUGCUAGAUUUCUUCUCGAUGGCAGGAGAUGACUGACAAAGGUUUCUUCAGCAGAAUACGCAUGGCGUGGUCCUUAAAGACUUUCCUUUCCUUGCAGAUGUCUUAGGAAGGGAUUCAGGGCAAACCAACUCAGUUAAUUGCCUUCAGUAAAAUAACACGAUUACGAAAUUAGAUCUGUACCAGAGGGGUAAUUAACUUCGAUCCGUGCCAUCAUUUGAAAACCAGAUUUAUAGACGUAUGUAUGGAUUUUAGGUGCGCUGUAAAUGGCAUGCAGAUGUAUGCAUAAGUAUACGCAGGCUCUUUCCCCAUCUACUCUUCCACCACGCAGACUAAUUAACGGCAACUCUAGCAGAUGUGGCAGGAGGAGAGCUGAGAUGGAGCACUGCGCUGAGUUAUGACCCUGGGGGUAGGGACUCCAAGCCUGAACUCCAGGGGAGGCUGAAGGGCAGAGAGGAAAGUGUGAUAGUUGCAGUGAGUCAGUUGCUUCUGGAUCAAGAUCAGAGACUCUGCCCUCCGUGUUCACAGCGGACCUUGAUUUAAUGUCAUACAAUUAAGGCACGCGGUGAAUGCCAAGAGCGGAGCCUACGACUGCACUUGAAGGACAUCAGAGAGACUCAGGGUCGGAAAGGGUGGGGGAGAGACAAUUGCAGGCGUCAGGAAGGGAGCUAGAAUGAACCCAUCCUGUGCGGCAUAAGGACUCCUCGCAUUGAUUCAGAAUCUUUAGAAUGCGAGAGUCAUAUGUUUUUCAGCGAGUGUCCGGGAACCCCGCAUGCAUAUCCCCAAGGGGAAUAUUAGAGCUUUCAUUGACAGCUGUCAGGAGAGCAGUAGCUCCCAUUGGUGCAAAUGGUCUAGAGAGUCUGCAUUUGGAAAGCGCUGGCCUUUUCAAAGCAGAAUGAGGUUGUUCUCAAUCCUGGGCUGAAUUGGGAAAACAAAAUAGGAGAGGGAGUAUAGCAUUAAAUAGCGCCCAGACCACAUUGCACAAGAAACCUCAAAUGACUCAGUCAUCUGUGGAAAUAGGAACAUCCGGUCCCCCAGAGCCCUUGACUUCUCCCAUUCUCUACCCAGUCUCAUGGCGGCCUUGUCUAGCUUUAAAAGACCAAGGCAAAGUCGCAAUACCCAAAUCAGUCAACGUUGUCGAAUAACGGGAAAGACCAAGCCAGAAACUCUGAGACUUGUAAAUUAAUCUAUUUGAAAGACCAUGAGGUAGACUUAGUUAAGGUAGGUCCACUCCACAACCUUGGAGCCUAAGAAAACCAAGGCUGAGAAGGAGCCUUGAGGCAAGUCUUUGUUCUGAUGUGGCCUGCCUGGCCUGGGAACAAAGGCGAGGCUGGGCAAGGAAGAACCAAAGUGGCCGCGCCCUCCGCGCCUUGCGCUGUCCGUGGUGCUGACCGGACCCUCUUCCUCCUCCUUCUCUUCUUCCUCCUCCAUCCAUAAGCCCGCAAGUAAGGCAAUAAAAUCGCUUCUUCCCUACUAUAAAACAUCCAGGAUAUUAAGUAAUUUACAAAUAAAAAUUUGAAAUGGAAAGACUGUAAACAGCUAAACAGUAUUUUACUGAAACUGUCUACUCUAUUAUAAAAAUCAGUUGGUUUGGGUUGAAACCAGAAUCCGAGUAGUGGACAAAACCUGAAAGAAAGACAUGGAAUAGAAGAAAAUUUUGUUUUGUUUUGUUUUUCUUAAACCACAACCCUGAAAACAGAGACACAAGGUUCGAAGAUGUGGUCACCAAAGGUACCUCUCAAAGGACCCCAGAGUGUGCCUCAAGAUGUAUUAAAAAGGAUAACACUGGAGUGAUUAGGUGACCAGGGCAGGCAGGAGUAAAGCAGCCUGAAAACACUGUCUAGGCUCUCAGCAGGGAUCUGAAUAGGGCAGUCUUCCUAAGUGAGUUCCAAGGCCAAGACCCACAGAAGGAUGGGCUCUCUGGUGCUCAGGAGCUGAUACUGAGCACCACCUCUCAAGGAGGCACUGCAGGUCCAGCGGCUUGAAUCCCGCAUUGCGGGGAAAAUCAGACUGCAGAACUCUCCUCCUCAUAGCUACUCUGGACCAGACCUCCAGAGGCAGGACACAUUACCAAAUUCCAUAUAAUUAAGGUUUGCCUUAGGACUUGUGGGUCAGAUGUGUCUAAAUUAAUGUAUCCAAUGUAUAUUUAAAAUGCUCAGCCUAUUUCAACAUUUUAACUUAAACAUCGAGAAUAUGUAUAUAAGCAAUAAAAUAUUAAGUUCUAUACUUAAUCAUAUUUGCAAUGGAAAGAGAAAUAGGCAAUAAAUUGAUUUGCAUCCAGCCUAGGCCCAAGAAAGAAAAUGUUCCAUGUUUGAGUAUCUUUAUAGAUUCACAUCAUAAAUGCUGUCAAACAUCGGUCAUAGAUAAACUGAACCAGGUUGUACAAGAGAGACAGUGGCAGCAAUUUUUAUGCAAGCAUAGAAAUGGGCUAUAUAUGGACAAUUGCCUAAAAGAUAUGGUUUUAUAACAUUUAUUCUCUUAAACCCGAAUGAUGGAAAUGUAUCCACUGACUUAGGAAAUAAAAGAGGUCAGAAACAAUA